rnacentral:rRNA from 1 species
GCCAGACUCCUACGGGAGGCAGCAGUGAGGAAUAUUGGUCAAUGGGCGAGAGCCUGAACCAGCCAAGUCGCGUGAGGGAGUACUGCCCUAUGGGUUGUAAACCUCUUUUGUCGGGGAGCAAAAGCCGGACGUGUCCGUCUGUGAGAGUACCCGAAGAAAAAGCAUCGGCUAACUCCGUGCCAGCAGCCGCGGUAAUACGGAGGAUGCGAGCGUUAUCCGGAUUUAUUGGGUUUAAAGGGUGCGCAGGCGGAAUGUCAAGUCAGCGGUAAAAUUUCGGGGCUCAACCCCGUCGUGCCGUUGAAACUGGCGUUCUUGAGUGAGCGAGAAGUAUGCGGAAUGCGUGGUGUAGCGGUGAAAUGCAUAGAUAUCACGCAGAACUCCGAUUGCGAAGGCAGCAUACCGGCGCUCAACUGACGCUCAUGCACGAAAGCGUGGGUAUCGAACAGGAUUAGAUACCCUAGUA